CGCGGGGUCCGCAGGCAAUGUGUGCUCCCUGCCCCUCCCCUCUAUUAUUGUGUCUCCCCCUCUAUUAUUGUGUCUCCCCCUCUACUAUUGUGUGUCCUCCUUUAUUAUUGUGUGUCCCUCUUUUUUCAUUGUUGUUCCCCCUAACCCCUCCCUCUAUUAUUGUGUUCCACCUCUUUCUUUAUUGUCCCCCCUCUUUCUUUGUUGUGUCCUCCCCCCUUUUUGUUCCCUCCUCUUUCAUUAUUGUCCCCACCCCCCCUCUCUUUACCUGUCUCGGCAGCCUCCUGUCCUGGAGCGUUGGCUCUUCCUCUCUCUACUGAUGCUUCAGGCUUUGGGUGCAGUUGACGGAUCCGUCCAGCAGGUGGCGUCUGAAGCUCCAGUUGCCAUGGCAACUGCGCUGCAUGUGAUGGACUCCUCUUUUCAAGCUGCUGUCUCUUCUAUGGUGCCGCCAGCAGUUCCUGGGGUGCCGUCAGG